rnacentral:rRNA from 1 species
UACGAAGGGUGCAAGCGUUAAUCGGAAUUACUGGGCGUAAAGCGCGCGUAGGUGGUUCAGUAAGUUGGAAGUGAAAUCCCCGGGCUCAACCUGGGAACUGCUUUCAAAACUGCUGAGCUAGAGUACGGUAGAGGGUGGUGGAAUUUCCUGUGUAGCGGAGAAAUGCGUAGAUAUAGGAAGGAACACCAGUGGCGAAGGCGACCACCUGGACUGAUACUGACACUGAGGUGCGAAAGCGUGGGGAGCAAACAGG